CCUACGGGCGGCAGCAGUAGGGAAUCUUCCACAAUGGGCGAAAGCCUGAUGGAGCCACGCCGCGUGGGUGAAGAAGGUCUUCGGAUCGUAAAACACUGUUGUUGGAGAAGAAAGUGCUUGAGAGUAACUGUUCACGUUUCGACGGUAUCUACCCAGAAAGCAACGGCUAACUACGUGCCAGCAGCCGCGGUAAUACGUAGGUGGCAAGCGUUAUCCGGAUUUAUUGGGCGUAAAGCGAACGCAGGCGGUCUGUUAAGUCUGAUGUGAAAGCCUUAGGCUUAACCGGGGUAGUGCAUUGGAAACUGGGAGACGUGAGUGCAGAAGAGGAGAGUAGAACUCCAGGUGUAGCGGUGAAAUGCGUAGAGAUAUGGAAGAACACCAGUGGCGAAAGCGGCUCUCUGGUCGGUAACUGACGCUGAGGUGCGAAAGCGUGGGGAGCAAACAGGAUUAGAUACCCCGGUAGUC
rnacentral:rRNA from 1 species